GGGUGGACUGCCCGUGGCCGAAAAGCAGCAGGCCGAUGGUGCCGCGGCCGCCGGUGGGCAACCUGCAGCCGCCGUCGGCACAGUCCAGCCCCAGCCGACAUC
rnacentral:SRP_RNA from 1 species